rnacentral:rRNA from 1 species
AGAGUUUGAUUCUGGCUCAGGAUGAACGCUGGCGGCGUGCCUAAUACAUGCAAGUCGAACGCACAGCGAAAGGUGCUUGCACCUUUCAAGUGAGUGGCGAACGGGUGAGUAACACGUGGAUAACCUACCUCAAGGUUGGGGAUAACAUUUGGAAACAGAUGCUAAUACCGAAUAAAACUUCGUAUCGCAUGAUACAAGGUUAAAAGGCGCUACGGCGUCACCUAGAGAUGGAUCCGCGGUGCAUUAGUUAGUUGGUGGGGUAAAGGCCUACCAAGACAAUGAUGCAUAGCCGAGUUGAGAGACUGAUCGGCCACAUUGGGACUGAGACACGGCCCAAACUCCUACGGGAGGCUGCAGUAGGGAAUCUUCCACAAUGGGCGAAAGCCUGAUGGAGCAACGCCGCGUGUGUGAUGAAGGCUUUCGGGUCGUAAAGCACUGUUGUAUGGGAAGAACAGCUAGAGUAGGGAAUGACUUUAGUUUGACGGUACCAUACCAGAAAGGGACGGCUAAAUACGUGCCAGCAGCCGCGGUAAUACGUAUGUCCCGAGCGUUAUCCGGAUUUAUUGGGCGUAAAGCGAGCGCAGACGGUUGAUUAAGUCUGAUGUGAAAGCCCGGAGCUCAACUCCGGAAAGGCAUUGGAAACUGGUCAACUUGAGUGCAGUAGAGGUAAGUGGAACUCCAUGUGUAGCGGUGGAAUGCGUAGAUAUAUGGAAGAACACCAGCGGCGAAGGCGGCUUACUGGACUGUAACUGACGUUGAGGCUCGAAAGUGUGGGUAGCAAACAGGAUUAGAUACCCUGGUAGUCCACACCGUAAACGACGA